UAGGGAAUCUUCCACAAUGGACGCAAGUCUGAUGGAGCAACGCCGCGUGAGUGAAGAAGGUUUUCGGACCGUAAAGCUCUGUUGUUGGUGAAGAAGGAUAGAGGUAGUAACUGGCCUUUAUUUGACGGUAAUCAACCAGAAAGUCACGGCUAACUACGUGCCAGCAGCCGCGGUAAAUACGUAGGUGGCAAGCGUUGUCCGGAUUUAUUGGGCGUAAAGCGAGCGCAGGCGGAAGAAUAAGUCUGAUGUGAAAGCCCUCGGCUUAACCGAGGAAUUGCAUCGGAAACUGUUUUCUUGAGUGCAGAAGAG
rnacentral:rRNA from 1 species